GGCUCUUCCUGACCAGACUGCUCAUUUACUUGCUCUUCAGCAGUCAGGCCGCGGUAGCAGUGACUCCGAGAAUGAGGAAUUUGUAUGUUGUGAACCGGGAAAUCUAUGCUGCUCGGCAGAGGCAGGUGCCUCCUCAGCUCCCAUCCAUCGUGGCCAGGAAUCAAAGGAAUUAAAUAAAUGACAGUGCACUUGGAAGAACGUGGCUUCAGCACGUCUCUCCUGGGCACCUACUACGUGCCAAGGGCCACAUGGUUCCUGGUGGGAAGAUGGAAGCACCUGUCCGGCACAUACUUCUGGUCUACCUCGGGAUACUGGAGGAACGCGUGCAAGCGAAGGCACCACCGCAGUCUUUCAAUAACUGUGCUGAACAACAACAAGGCCUUCCGGGAUUAAUGGUCAAGUGAAUGGCACGGAUGAUCACCGUUAGAGGAACUCCUAGGAGGGAGAGAGAUCUCUCUUUGGGCUUGAUAGAGAGGAAAGCAUUUGAACAGGGAUCAGAAGGUUUGGAAUAUUCUCCACAACAGGGUGGAUGAGGAGAAGAGAAAGAGCGCGAGACGGAGGCAGCUUCUGUUUUUAGAAGAAAUCCUUCCGAGGUAGAAACAUCUCCUUGGAGGUAUGGGAUUUGACCCAGAGGGUUGGGUCACUUGCCCAUGACGGGACAGUACGUUCACGGCAAUUCCAGGC